rnacentral:rRNA from 1 species
GAUGAACGCUGGCUACAGGCUUAACACAUGCAAGUCGAGGGGAAACGACGGGGAAGCUUGCUUCCCCGGGCGUCGACCGGCGCACGGGUGAGUAACGCGUAUCCAACCUGCCUCUGACUGAGGGAUAACCCGUCGAAAGUCGGCCUAAUACCUCAUGGUAUCGUCUGCGGGCAUCCAACGACGAUUAAAGAUUUCAUCGGUCAGGGAUGGGGAUGCGUCUGAUUAGCUUGUUGGCGGGGUAACGGCCCACCAAGGCUACGAUCAGUAGGGGUUCUGAGAGGAAGGUCCCCCACAUUGGAACUGAGACACGGCCCAAACUCCUACGGGAGGAAGCAGUGAGGAAUAUUGGUCAAUGGGCGAGAGCCUGAACCAGCCAAGUAGCGUGCAGGAAGACGGCCCUAUGGGUUGUAAACUGCUUUUAUGCGGGGAUAAAGUGAGGGACGUGUCCCUAAUUGCAGGUACCGCAUGAAUAAGGACCGGCUAAUUCCGUG